rnacentral:lncRNA from 1 species
AUUUUAUGCCUUCCGUGGGGAUGGUGCUGCCUGUUGGUGCGGGGAUGUGGCCAUGGGGCUGAGGCUCAUUCUGGGAAGGAUCUGGGUGCACUGUAGACACUAAGCCUGUCCUUUUGUCAUGCCAGGCAAUGUGGUGAGUUCCCCAGCAAGUCCACCACCCCCAGGUUAGUGAUUCCCUCCUGCACCUCCUGUACCCCCAGGCAGCAGCCCCUCACACAACGCCCAGCUCCCUUCCAGAGGCUCAGCCAUGCCCCUGGAGGUCUGGAUCCUGCGCUCUGCUCUCAGCCUGCUCCUGCUGCUGUCUGCUCCCAUCAUCACCCUCCUCCUGGAGAGAUGCAGCCACGGUGCCAACGAGGCCAGACAGCCUGGAGACGUCCCUGUCCCCAUGGAGCUCUGAUGCCCUCCUGGGCUCCAUGUUAUCCAGAGCCUGCUCCACAAGACCAGAGCGUGACCCCCUCAUAUUUGCCAGACUCCCACUGCCAUUGGUCUCAAUGCAGCUGAGGCAGCAUGCCCAAGGGAUGUGCUGCCACUGCUCUGCUUCCCUUGGCUCAGACCCUGCUUUCUGCUAUUACUUUUGA